UACGUAGGGUGCAAGCGUUAUCCGGAAUUAUUGGGCGUAAAGAGCUCGUAGGCGGUCUGUCGCGUCUGCUGUGAAAACUGGAGGCUCAACCUCCAGCCUGCAGUGGGUACGGGCAGACUAGAGUGCGGUAGGGGAGAUUGGAAUUCCUGGUGUAGCGGUGGAAUGCGCAGAUAUCAGGAGGAACACCGAUGGCGAAGGCAGAUCUCUGGGCCGUAACUGACGCUGAGGAGCGAAAGCGUGGGGGAGCGAACAGG
rnacentral:rRNA from 1 species